GGAAGUAGCAAAUAUUCAAGUGGGAUCCUUGAAGACUGAAGUGGGGAAGGGUUCCAUGGUAACAGCAGUUGGACAUGGGUUAGUCGGUCCUAAGAGAUAGGGAACCUCCCUUAAAAGAACUCUCUUGUUAGUCUGGCCUAUCGGAUCGCCAAUCCACGGGAAAGAUUCUACAAUACUGGGAUGCAGAUUUUCAGCGGUAACGCAUAUG
rnacentral:ncRNA from 1 species